GAUUCAAGAGACCCAAAUCAUCGAGAUACAAAAUAAAAGGUCUUUAAGAUGAGGAAGCUAUUUCUAACAGACGAUUGUCUCAGAGUCACAGCCGAUUUUGAUGAAUCGAACAAAUUGGAUCUUUCUGUAAUAACUUUUAUUUUUUUUCACGGGAAGUACUUAAUGGACUAAAUUUUUUUUUUCUUUAGUUUUAGACAAGUAUUAAAUAAGGCCCAUCACAUUUUAGUAACUCUAUACAAAUAAGGUCCAUCUGUAUUUGGUCCUAAAAGUCUAUGAAUUAAGGUCCAUAAAAUAAAGUCCACUACAUGAUUAAGACCUUGCAUUCUAUUUCAAUUUGAUUUAAUAUAUACUGUUCAAUUCUAUAUAUUUCACAUUAUAUUAUAUUAACCAUACAAAAUACAAUUUAGUAUUUUAACUAUAUCACUAGAUUCUGACCCGCGCUUAAAAAGCGCGGGUAUUUUUUGGUUGACCGUAAAGCUAAAUAUUAUUUAAAUUUAAACUUACUAUUAUAUAUCUAUAAUAUUUAAAAGCUGUUAUAUUAUUAUUAUUUUCAUCUGCUCGGUCUUGUACAAUAUUUUCAUUGAAUUUUCAUAUCCGAGUCAGACUUGUAGUCGAACCGAUGGAUCUAUUUACUCGUAUAUAAGUGAGGGUAGGAUAUAAUAAAACGAACAUGGUAAAAAUACCUCACAAUAAUAUUAAUCUUUUUGAGACAAUUGUUUUAUUAGUAGAAAUCUAUAAUAUAAAAUAAAUGAUCUGUUUACAUUUAUUAUUUUUUUCAAUUCUGUUUACAUGUAUUUAUGUAUUAAUUGGUGUUCAAAAUAUUGUAUUUUUUUAAAGAAGUAAUUGAAAGUGGGUCUGAAGUUAAAUGGGAUUAAAAUUGUUUUUAACUUAAAUGGGUUUAGUAGUAAAAAUCGAUUUGUUAAGUUAAGGGCCCAAGCCCAUCAAAAAAUUUGUACCUGCCGACAAGAAAGGAUUAAGAUCGUCUCUUGUUUUGACAGAUUGAAACUCUAAAAAAAAAAAAUUCGGAGAUGGCGAUUCCCGUCCACUCGUUCCUCUCGGAUUUGAUCUGGUGUUGGGUCCAUGUGAUUUCCGAUGACUUCCGAGUACAAAUCGGUCAGAUUGUAAUACUGAAACAAUACCCGACAAACAUGUUCUUAUUUUUAUAUGCAUGGCAAAUAUGGAUCAAGUCUUUAUUUAGGUGAACAUUAUCAAACGUGAGAAGGAUAUAUUCUAAAAGAGCAGAUGAAUCACCAAACUAAAAAGUCAGAGCAGAUGAAUCACCAAUGUCAAAAGUCAGUGUAUUUACAAUCAAGAUUCAAACUCGUUUUAAAGAGCUGGAAAGGCAUUUAUAAUAUAUACCAUGAUGAUUCAAAGUCAAUAAUAAGGAGAUAAGUCGAACUUUUUAUAAUAUAUUCUUUUAGUAGUUGGGUCAAGUUGCUAACUUUUGAUGAAACAUCCUCUAUGUUGUUAUGCUUAUGGUUCUUAGUUUUGAUUGUAGGAUUUAAAAAACAUAAUCAUCGUAUAGUAAACUGACAUCAACAUCUAUUUGGAGAAGAUCAGAACGCGUAUACACUCCUAUUAUUAACUUUAAUAUGGUUUCAAAAUCAACCAAAUCCAGAAAAUUAUCAUCAAUCCGGAGAGUUGACUCCGAGAUGUCCGUGUUGUGAAGGAAAUUCAUUUUCAAAGGAUUUUUGGUUGUUCGAAAUGUACGGGGAGCAUUCGUCAAACUGAAGUUAUCAAUGUUGAUCCACUCUCCAACAGGAACUUUCGUAGCCAACUCAUCCAUGUAAGUCUUCUUACACGAUGCAUGAAUUUUUGUACCCUAAAAAUACCAUAGAUUCAAAAUUUACGUUGAUUAGAAUAUAGACAAAAAUCUUGAAAAUAACAAAAACAUAUAAAGAAUAACACACUUACAUGAGCAUCAGAAAGGACUAAUUCGAGUGAGUCACCAGCCAUUUUAGUCCAUUGUCUCCAUGAAUGCAGAACUUUGACUUGUACCCGAUAAGAUGUAAAACGUGGUUUGAUAUCGUUCAAGAAGGUAAUCUGCAUAUUGUUAACCAUGAUUUUCUGAAUCGUUUUUUCUUUUCUUGUGAGGAGUUUGAGUUUGAUUUUGAUAAAGAUGGAUGUUAAAGGGUUGUGAGUAAGAUUGUAUUUAUAAUAUAGGAGGGGUUUAUAGUCGAUCAACCAUAAUUGAAUAUUUUGUAAUCAAAUUGGUUAUCGAAUUUUAAGGAAUAAAAUCUAAGCAAGCAUCAAUUAGUUAUUUUGGUUGAUAGAUUUUAGGUAAAUUGUGUAGUUAGCCGUAAUAAAUAAACUUGUAGAGGAAGGAAUUUAGAAUAUUGGUUAAGGUAAUUACGUGAUUGAGAAUAAUAGCAUUGAUUCUUAAUAAUGAUUAUUUAAACGUGAUAUUAAUCAAUAAUAUCCUGUGGAGGAAGGAAUUAAUAUUUUUGGUUUAGGUAAUUACGGGAUUGAGAAUAUAUACUAUUGAUUUUUUUGUUUACCAAAUCACUAUUGAUUCUUAAACGUGAUCAAUAUUCAAAAAAAUCUUCGAAUAUAUACACUUAGCAUAUUUAUUUUUCUCUUUCGUGAUCAUUUCGUAUCAAUGUAAAUAAAUGUUAGUUACCGUAUUUAUAGGAAUAAAAUCUAAGCUUUUAAAAUUUUUUGUUGUUGACAAUAAUAAAUAAACUUGUAGAGGAAGUAAUGAAGAUAUUUUGCUUUCACUUAGCAUAUUCGUUAGUUUUUCAGAGUUCACAUUUAUUUAGUUGUUAAUUCUGUUUCAUUAUAUUUUGCUUUCUAAACUUAUGAUAAAUUGUCUACUCAAAUAUAAGCAAGAGAUAAAAGCAAGUCAUUUCUAUAGUUAUUUUGCUUCCUAAACUUAUGAUAAACUUGUAGAGGAAGUAUUGUAGUUGUUUUGCUUCCACUUAGCAUAUUCGUUUGUUAUUCAGAUUUCACAUUUAUUGAGUUGUGUUUCGUGCUUCAAACUGCAAUUUAAAUGCCCCUUUAUUAUUAAUAUAAAUUUAUGACAAAAUAAAAUCCCCCUUUGUGUUUCGUGAUAUUUUAUUGUUUGACAAAAUCAAAUUGUAAAUCUUCAUAAGAAAACAAAUGAAAAGUACAAAUGCAUUUUCCUCUCACGUACUAAUAAUAUAAUCUUCAUAAGAAAACAAAUGAAAAGUACAUUUAGAAUAUUCUUCAAAUCUCGAUGUUUGCUUCCCAGGUAAGAGAUAUUGGAUUCCAAACAAAAUUACAUUUGGCACAGCAAUCUGGAUUAUCAUUAUCUUCUACUUCAAUAAUAUCCUUGUUAUUUUCCAUCCAAACCAUAAACUUGUUGUUUUCUGAGGUUGUGGACAAAUCUUUUUGUUUUGUGGAGAGCUGAAACAUAUAAAAAAACCAUAAUAAGAGAUCUGAAUAUAUAAUGAAAGUAAACAUGUUAGCCGCGAUUUCUAAACACAUAGUCCCAUAGUUCAACCAUGUAAAAAUGUAAUACCUUAUCAUGAGGGGGAGAUGAGGAUUGCAAUGACUUAAAAAAACAGGAUAUGAACCACUUUAGCAUUUUUUGGUUUCCUUGGCUCUGAGCCUCGGGUUUUAUGUUUUUGAUAUUGGUGAUAUAUGUGGUGCUCUUGAGUUUGGUGAGAGGUGGGUUAUAUAGGAUAUGAGAUGGCGAUUUCUGGUUAGAUAAUAGUCUAUUUUAUUAAAAUGAAAUUUAAAGUAGAUGUCAACUUAGAAUAUUCUUUUCGAAUUAUUUGGGUUACAAAGGUCGUAGAUGCUGUUAUAUUAGAUAUGGUUAGACCAAAAAAUGAAAAAAGGAAAAGGUCCAAAAUGACUUUCAUAGGUAGAUUUAUUUAAACUCCUUCUCUUUUAAUAGUAUAGAUUUUUAGAUUUAUCUCAUCCCGCGCAAGGCGCGGGUCUCAUCCUAGUAUUUUUUAAAAAGUGAAUCUCACAGAAUCUUUUUUAUUUGUGUGAAAAUUAUGAAAAAAGAUACAACUAAUAAUUCACAUAUAAUCAGUAUAAAUAUCUUUCAGAAAUUGGCUUGAAAAUAUAUAUAACAAAACCUAACAAAUAAAACCAUAAAUAUUUGAUAAUAAUACCUAAAAUAACCAAAAUACUUAAAGACAUAUUAUAAAAAACAUAAUAUAAAUAAUAAAUAUGAAAAAUGACUAGAGAAAAAGUAGAAAAUUUAUUUAAGAUAUCAUUUUACACAUUUUAUCAAGGGUUUCUAGUAAUUAAACCCCUCAACUAAAGAUGAAUCGUAAAAAUACUCUUAACCAAAAAUAUUUUGAAAUAAACCUUCAACUUUAAUUUCGUUAACAUAUGUUACCCUCAUGGAGAGUGACAUAUGUUAACGGUUUAUAAGCUGAGAGUUUAUAAUGUUGAAAACUUAUAUGAUGUUUUUUUUACAAUUCAAAAAUAGUGAAGAUGUUUUAACACUAAAAGUUAUUAAAUGUUUUAAAAUCUUUAUUAUCAUUUAUACAUUGUUUUAGAUUGAUAUAAGCCUUUAAACUAAUAUAUAAAUUUUAAUACAUUAAUUUAUAUAAAUAUAUAAGGCUUCAUAAAUAUUUUAAUAUUUUUACAUAUGAUUAAUACGGUUUCACAAUGAUUUAACAUUAUUCAUAAUACUACUGAAACAUAAAUUAAUACAAUAAAUCAAGAAUAAAAUAUCAAAUAUAUUAUUUUAUUUAAAAAAUAUCUCUUAUUUGUUUAGAAAUCAAUGAGAAUAAAAAUAAUCAUGCAUUAUUUUUGGCGAACAGAGAGAAAAAGUAAGAGCCGGAGGACGGAAAUCAUGAAAAUAGAAAAAGUGUGUCCUACUCUAAAUAAAAAGAUUGAGUUCAUGAAUGAAUUAUCCUUGAUACUACGUAAUAUAACUUAGAAAUGUUAAAUUAUUUGAUAUUUGACAAUGAAGAUAUAAAUACAAAAACAUUCUUAUAUCACUAUUGCCAAAUAUCAAAUAAUUUAAUAUUUUGAAGUUAUAUUAAGUUGUAAAUAGUGUUGAAAAUUAUUAAUUUAGGAUGUAUAUUUAUUUUAUAAUAAAUUAAUUUAUUAAAAUUUAUAAAUUAGUUUUAAAGGCUUAUAAAUCAAUCUAAGAAAAUGUAUAAAUGAUAAUAAACAUUUUAAAACAUUUAUUUACUUUUAGUGAUAAAACCCCUCAACUAUUUUGAAUCGUAAAAAAACAUGUCAACUAAGUUUUCAACAUUAUAAACUCUCAACUUAUAAACCGUUAACGUAUGUUAUCCUAUGUCACAGUUUUUUAGAUGAAGUGUAACAUAUAUUAACGAAAUUAAAGUUGAGGGUUUAUUUCAUAUGAUUUUUAGUUGAAGAUUUUUUUUAUGAUUCAUCUUUAGUUGAGGAUUUAAUUACUAAAAACCCUUUUAUAAAACAUAAGCUAACGAGAAAAGUGAAUCUCACAGCUCUUUUCUCCUUUUUGUUCACUAAACUCAAUAUAAGGAAAAUAAUAAAUAAUUAACACAAUUGUUAUAAAUAUAUUAGGGAAAAUAAAAAAACUUCGUAAAAGAGUAACGACAAUAAACUCAAAUAAUAUGUAAAUUCCCUAUACAUACCAUACUACACUACUUACACCACCGAAAUGAAAAAUAAAUUGACAUUUAAAUAUUUGGAUGUACACGAAUAUCAAUUUAAUUCUUUUAAUAGCCCAACCCCUAGCAUCGAUAACUAGAUACAAACCCAAAACUUAAUGACAAUGUCUUUCAGACGAUAACCUGCCAGUCCACUACGUCAAAAGCAUGCAAGAGUGUUUUCAAAACAACAACAUAAACUUCAGGUUCCAAAAUCUGCAAGCAACAAUGGUUGGUUCAUACAACAAUGAAAUUUACCUAUACGACAUAAAAAUAUUAUGCAAAGGAGAGCCCAAUAUCAGUAAAGAAUGCUUUGGUAUGCUUGGAUGGAAACUAAUAAAAAUUAAAGUUGACCAAUGCUGGAGACGCUUCAAAGAAUCGUUUCACAUGGUUGAAGUAACCAAACUACCAUGCAAUUCAAAAUUUUUAGGAAUACAAAAUCAAUGAUUGUAUACCGCCCCAACAACAUUAAAAAGCAUAUGCGACACUUACUAUAUGAUAUAUACAUAUAAAAAUUGUUUACCUAAUUUAAGGAGUAGAUGUAAAGUAUUGUCGCCAAAUAUGUGUCGAAAAUUUAAAAAAAAAAUGAAUUCAAAGUAAAAAAAAUGUCUAGCAUCUAAUACUAUAAAGAAGAGUUACUCUCUUCUCUGAGUUUGACACGUCAUAAAAUAGGUUCUUCUGAACGUGCCACGUGUCAAUGAAAUGUGAUCCGCACCUUUCAUUUAACUGUGUGUUACGUGGGUUUUGUUUUGAUCUGGACCUUAAGUUUAGUAGAUUCACCAGCCCAGCAGAUAGACUCUCUAAUUGGAGACGCGGCUUGAAGCGUCGUUUUCGUAUUAGGGUAUUAAUUUUGCUUUCGUCUCCGACAUCGAGAGAACCAGAGUUCUGAGAGAAUUGUUUCAGCUUCUUUCUAACAAUCUCCACCAGUGGAUUCUGGUUCUAGGGUUCGCCACACUUUUGCACUCCGAUGUUCGAGAGUUUGAGCAGGCACCGUCGACGUGAUAAAUCUGUUCGUAGAAAUUUCUAUGAUGUCGUUCGAUCUUCUUCCUCAUCAACCGAAACGCUCCCGGUAUCAGAUACAUCGCUUUAAAACCUAUCUUAACUGCAUCCACCACGAUCUAUCAUUUAAUGUGAGCCUCUUAUGUGAGGUUAAAAUCAUCUUCCUCCCAUACCUUUGUACCUGCGACUAUAAAAAGGUUAGACAUCCUCCUCUCGAAAUCAUCUUCUCAAUCUGAUUAACUUGCGAAGAUCUUCUUUUACCUUAUUCGUCUCAGCGACCUCGACUACUCGCCAUUGCACCCCGCGACUUCUCCUGUCAUCGCUGUCGCGUCUCCAAUUGAUCUCCGGUGGUCCAACCGCGAUUGCAUCCCUCCGUAUUCGUGUCUAAGCUUCAUCUCCAGCGUGAGCAGCGUUCAUCUUUUCACCGCCGCGACCUUCUGCUCACGGCCACAGCCAUCUCAGCUACCAAAGUCGUCGAUCUUAGCUCCAAUUGCAGAGGAUCUCAAGCCGCGUUUAUCCUUCAUCAGGCGACUAGCCUAGAAAUAUUAGUAUACGGGUAUAAGAUUAGUAGACCGAUUUCUUAUCAAUGUUAUGAUCUGUUUUUAAAAAUAUCUAUUUUUCUUGGAUGAUGAUGACUCGGGAAAUCGAGCUCUGUUUGUGCAAGCUUUUUUAUUGAUAUGUCACUUUUUCUACACAAAAGGUGGUGGCAGACUCCACCAGCGCCAUUAACUUCACCGAGAAGACUGCGUUUCUUGCAGGAUACAUGGAACAAUGGUCAGAUCCUCCGCAGCCCUAUCUAGCAAGCUUUCGUGUGGCACAGCCUGCAAUAAUCAAAUCAGAUUUAACCAGAGAUUGCAGCUGCGACAAGAGCAGAAGAGUUUCCCUUGGGUUCUGAAAUGAGGAGAGAUGAUUCGCUAGGCUUCGAAAAGAGUCAUUGGAUCCAAUAGUUUGCGGUCAAAAAGCUCGGGGUAGAUAAAAAAGGGUUGGAGAAACAUGUUCUUUUCAAGACCAAUGAGAAAUGCAGCUUCUGCAAGAGCAGCGAGAAGGGUUCCUGUGCCAGCAGCAUCUUCUCCAGACACAUCAUAUUCACUGACAAAAGCCUGUAAACAAAGUUACACGAUUGAGCAAAAGAUGGAAACGCAGAAAAGCUUCAUUUGGUCUCUUCUCGGAGUUAUGUUUGUAUAAUCUAUGUUAUAAUGAAGUGCUUUUAAUGUUCAUUCCUUCUCUUUUGUUUUUACUCAAUCUGAUAAACAAUUUAAGCUACACCUUUUUGCA